GAUGAACGCUGGCGGCGUGCUUAACACAUGCAAGUCGAACGAAGCACUUUAAUCGAUUUCUUCGGAUUGAAAUUUUAGUGACUGAGUGGCGGACGGGUGAGUAACGCGUGGGUAACCUGCCUCACACAGGGGGAUAACAGUUGGAAACGGCUGCUAAUACCGCAUAAGCGCACAGUACCGCAUGGUACGGUGUGAAAAACUCCGGUGGUGUGAGAUGGACCCGCGUCUGAUUAGCUAGUUGGCAGGGCAGCGGCCUACCAAGGCGACGAACAGUAGCCGACCUGAGAGGGUGACCGGCCACAUUGGGACUGAGACACGGCCCAAACUCCUACGGGAGGCAGCAGUGGGGAAUAUUGCACAAUGGGGGAAACCCUGAUGCAGCGACGCCGCGUGAGCGAAGAAGUAUUUCGGUAUGUAAAGCUCUAUCAGCAGGGAAGAAGAAAUGACGGUACCUGACUAAGAAGCACCGGCUAAAUACGUGCCAGCAGCCGCCGCCG
rnacentral:rRNA from 1 species